rnacentral:rRNA from 1 species
UACAGAGGUCCCAAGCGUUGUUCGGAAUUAUUGGGCGUAAAGGGUGCGUAGGCGGUAGGAUAAGUUAGAUGUGAAAUGUCGGCGCUUAACGUCGAACCUGCAUUUAAGACUGUCCUGCUUGAGCGUUAGAGAGGAGUCUGGAAUUUACGGUGUAGCAGUGAAAUGCGUAGAUAUCGUAAGGAAGGCCAGUGGCGAAAGCGAGACUCUGGCUAGAUGCUGACGCUGAGGCACGAAAGCUGGGGGAGCAAACGGG